GGAAGCGUGGCCGAGUGGUCGAAGGCGGCGGUCUUGAAAACCGCAGUGCCGCAAGGCACCAGGGGUUCGAAUCCUCUCGCUUCCGCCA
rnacentral:tRNA from 1 species